UCUCUCUCUCUCUCCAUACAUACACACACACAGAUAUGUGUGUGUGUGUGUAGAGAGAGAGAGAGAGAGAACCACUUAUUAUUUACAUGCAAAAAGUGCUUGAUAUUU
rnacentral:snoRNA from 1 species